GACGGAGGGUGCUAGCGUUGUUCGGAAUCACUGGGCGUAAAGGGCGCGUAGGCGGCUGGGACAGUCGGCUGUGAAAGCCCGGGGCUCAACCCCGGAGGUGCAGCCGAGACUGCCCGGCUGGAGGCCGGAAGAGGAGGGUGGAAUACCCAGUGUAGAGGUGAAAUUCGUAGAUAUUGGGUGGAACACCGGUGGCGAAAGCGGCUCUCUGGUCCGGACCUGACGCUGAGGAGCGAAAGCGUGGGGAGCAAACAGG
rnacentral:rRNA from 1 species